CGGUCGCGUAACACGUGGGCAACCUGCCCUGAAGCGGGGGACAACAAUCCGAAAGGGCUGCUAAUACCGCAUGUGAACUUUUGUGGCAUCACGAAACGUUCAAAGCUUUAUGCACUUCAGGAUGGGCCCGCGGCCUAUCAGCUUGUUGGUGGGGUAACGGCCUACCAAGGCUUCGACGGGUAGCUGGUCUGAGAGGACGAUCAGCCGGAUUGGGACUGAGAUACGGCCCAG
rnacentral:rRNA from 1 species